rnacentral:rRNA from 1 species
GGGAAGAGCUCAAAUUUGAAAUCUGGCGGUCUACGGCCGUCCGAGUUGUAAUCUAGAGAGGUGUUUUCCGUGCCGGACCGUGUACAAGUCCCUUGGAACAGGGCGUCAUAGAGGGUGAGAAUCCCGUCCAUGACACGGACUCCCGGUGCUCUGUGAUACACCUUCAAA